rnacentral:rRNA from 1 species
UACCAGCACCCCGAGUGGUCGGGACGUUUAUUGGGCCUAAAGCAUCCGUAGCCGGUUCUACAAGUCUUCCGUUAAAUCCAACUGCUUAACAGGUGGGCUGCGGAAGAUACUAUAGAGCUAGGAGGCGGGAGAGGCAAGCGGUACUCGAUGGGUAGGGGUAAAAUCCGUUGAUCCAUUGAAGACCACCAGUGGCGAAGGCGGCUUGCCAG